CAUGUAGCUUCUGAACUACAGUCAAUAACCAUGGCAGUCAUCAUGGCAGCCAUCAAGACAUUAUUACAGGAGGAACAUCAUCAACCCUCAUUCCUUGUUGCUUCCUGGUGGUUUGUGAAACCUUAAAUCCAGAACACACGGUCCUUAAACGUUCCACACAGUGACUUAAAACUGCCUAUUCAGACACUGAUGGUGUUAAAUGGAUGAUAAACCCACUGAUGAAGGGCAGGAUCUUUCCACUGAGUAUACGGAUGAAUGCAAAGAGAUGUUCCCAACAGUUUAUUUAACGCAGGAGGUCAGAGAUGAUAAAAGCUGCAUCAUCCACCUUCUUCUCACUGCGGCUCUCAUGAUUAAAGAUGCUUCAUCCUCUGGAGAGGCGGAUGGAUGGAAGCUAACAUCCGCCUGAUUAAUGUGCAAAUCAGACUCCCCCGUCCAGUUUGGAGUAGAAUAACUCACACUAGAU
ensembl:lncRNA